rnacentral:rRNA from 1 species
UACGUAGGGACCGAGCGUUGUCCGGAAUCAUUGGGCGUAAAGAGCGUGUAGGCGGCUAUUUAAGUCCUGCGUGAAAUCCUGCGGCUCAACCGCAGACGGUCGUGGGAAACUGGAUGGCUAGAGUGCGGGAGAGGAGAGUGGAAUUCCUGGUGUAGCGGUGAAAUGCGUAGAUAUCAGGAGGAACACCGGUGGUGUAGACGGCUCUCUGGACCGUAACUGACGCUGAGACACGAAAGCGUGGGUAGCAAACAGG